rnacentral:rRNA from 1 species
CGUAAUAACAGAAACUAACCAGGAUUCCCUUAAUAACGGCGAGUGAACUGGUAUACCAAUAUAUUUAUGCGUCUCUGGCGCAUAUUUUUAGCCCGUCGAUACUAUCCUAGCGUAUUACCGGUUUCGGCCGGUAGCCCAAUACGCGGGAAUUGUAGCAUCGUAAUAAAAUAUACACCAUGCCUGCGUCGCAAACGUAUAUACACGUAUACUCUCAACACACACACAUUCUCUCGUACGCGUACACACCCCUUGCAAACACACAGCGCUCCCGCGUUGGAAAGCAAGUCUAUAUCCUCUUUGGAUAUGCCAUAGAGUGUGACAGCCACGUUUGAAACACCCUACGUACCGUACACAAACAUAAGUAAAAAUACGCGCUGCUUCGCAUACGCAUACCGUAUAUAACCUGAGUCGAGUUAUUU